UACGGAGGGUGCGAGCGUUGUCCGGAAUCACUGGGCGUAAAGGGCGCGUAGGUGGCGCGGGAAGUCAACGGUGAAAGCUCAGGGCUCAACCCUGAGUCGGCCGUCGAUACUCCUGGGCUCGAGCACUGUAGAGGCAGAUGGAAUUCCGGGUGUAGCGGUGGAAUGCGUAGAGAUCCGGAAGAACACCGGUGGCGAAGGCGGUCUGCUGGGCAGUAGCUGACACUGAGGCGCGACAGCGUGGGGAGCAAACAGG
rnacentral:rRNA from 1 species